rnacentral:rRNA from 1 species
UACGUAGGAGGCGAGCGUUGUCCGGAAUUACUGGGCGUAAAGCGCGCGUAGGCGGCGCGACGCGACCGGUGUGAAAGCCCCCGGCUCAACUGGGGAGGGUCAUCGGUAACGGUCGUGCUGUGAGUGCAGGAGAGGGAUGUGGAACUCCGGGAGUAGCGGUGAAAUGCGUAGAGAUCGGGAGGAACACCAGAGGCGAAGGCGGCUCUCUGGACCACGACUGACGCUGAGGCGCGAAAGCUAGGGGAGCAAACAGG